rnacentral:rRNA from 1 species
AUUGAACGCUGGCGGCAGGCUUAACACAUGCAAGUCGAGCGAGCGGCGGACGGGUGAGUAAUGUCUGGGAAACUGCCUGAUGGAGGGGGAUAACUACUGGAAACGGUAGCUAAUACCGCAUACCAUCAGAUGUGCCCAGAUGGGAUUAGCUAGUAGGUGGGGUAAUGGCUCACCUAGGCGACGCUCCCUAGCUGGUCUGAGAGGAUGACCAGCCAAACUGGAAUGUGGACACGGUCCAGACUCCUACGGGAGGCAGCAGUGGGGAAUAGUGCACAAUGGGCGCAAGCCUGAUGCAGCCAUGCCGCGUGUGUGAAGAAGGCCUUAGGGUGGUAAAGCACUUUCAGCGGGGAGGCGUUACUCGAAGAAGAAGCACCGGCUAACUCCGUGCCAGCCGCCGCGGUAAUUC